UUUUUUUUUUUUGUAAGAGGGGGAAACCCGCGGCCGUUAUAAUCUCUGUCACAAUUUCUGCCUUUCGGGUGAGCACUUUGUGCACACUGAAUAAACCUUCCAUGUAUAAUAGUCUGCAAACCACACAGGGGAUGUAAACCGCACUAGACAAGUUUUGUGUAACAGACUCAACCCAAAAGACAUCAAGGCAAAUCGCCUUCCAAACCAAAUGGGCAACUCGGGUGAAAGCUGUUAUUAGCAAAAUUACGCUAUACGGUCAACAACGUGCUUAACGCGAUCACUUUGGGUAUUAUUUAUAUGAGAAAAUGAUCUGAUCCCAACACCUUUUCUCUAAUAAGGCUAAUCACUUUAACUUACUCAAAUUCAUAUUACCUUAUGCACAUUUAACUAAUAAAAUAUUCCCCACAAAGUAGAAUACUAAAUUCUAUUCACCACCCUUUUGCUUAAGAAAGUUAAUCACAUUAAGUAGUGCAAGUAUUCCUCCACAUGGCAAUGUGAAUUUGAAAAAACACAAUAGAUACAAGUGGCACUGAACUUGCCUCAUUUUCUUCUUUUUUUCCCCCUCAAAUCUAAGACCCUAAUACUUUCCUCUUUUUCUUUUCUUUUUUGCUUUUUUGGGGCUGCCUUAUUCAAACACAUCGAAAUAUUAAAUCCAAGAUUGCUUUGCCACAAGGCAGCUUAACAAAUAUUAAAGUUAGACCCGAAUAACGAGAUUCCUCAAGCAAUAGCAGCAGGUAAAAAUAGCACGGCUUAGUCAACUUUCGGAUUGUAAUUGAAAAAUAGCUAUUAUUUUAUUGAAAUACGAAAAAUUCUAACAUAAUAUAUUAGAUCAUGGAGCUCCUACAUUUAAACUUCACGCAUAUUAUGUUGGAACUCCAGCAUAUUAUAAAAUUCCAAUAUAUUAUACUGAAAUCUCAUAUGUAAUAAAUUCGAACUCCAAAAUAUUAUGCUGGAAUCUUUUCGAAUUUUUAAGGGUGUUUUUGUUCAGAUUAUAUCUUUGCAUGAAAAAGUGGCUAAAUUUCAAUUACUUUAAAACUGUGACUAUUUUGCAAUUACCAGUUGUAAAUCUGGCUAUUUCUGAUUUUUUUUCCUAGUUGCAACUGAUUCUCCCCAAAAAUACAUGUAUCAAUUUUAGAAAAAGAAAAAAAGUCAAAUACAAUAUAUCAGCACUGCAGUAAAGAUUGAGAAAAUAUCUUACAACACAGAAAUUGCUCAAAACUUCAUCAAGAAUCAGCUACACUGGCAAUGCAUUUCCUCUAACAUCAACAAAAACUCAAAUAGAUUAUCAAUUAUACCGGACCGUGAGAUAUCAGACAGUGCACUAGAUUAAUAUAGGGUUUCAAGUUUCUACACAGCUAUUGGCUUAAAAGUUACAUUUCAUGAGCAGAGAGGAUUGAGGAUAAGAACAUUGGACACAACAACAAUCUUUUAUCUCUUCAGAGAAUCCAAGAACUAACCAAAUUGUGCACUUGUUCAUCCACAUCAAAGAGGCCAUCCUUGGGUCAGAAGCAUAUGCCCCUGAGACAGGAAAGCAAAUGAACUCGCAAGGGAUAAGGCAAGAAUGCUAAAGAAAUACUGCAAACAAACGUAUAUAUCACCACAGAAUUAAAGACGCCUAAACAUGCUAAUUACAGACUUAUCAUUGUAGUAAAAAACUUAUUAACUUAAAACUAAAAUAGAUACGACUUACUCUCCAACUAUUAACUUAAAACUAAAAUAGAUUCGACUUACUCUCCAACUUUUGAUAUGGAUAUCUUGAUGAUCACAUAUUUUUCAUCAGGACUUCAGUGUAGCCAACUCAGAGCUGCUGAAGUACAUUGAUUUUUGUCACCUACUCUAACCAUCAAAGUAACUCGAGGAAGCUAAUUACUUUAGUUUCUGGUAGAAGGGACGUUCAAAUUCUCAUCUGAAGCAAGUUGCCAGAUAUAGUUGCGUAGAACACUAGUAACUAUCCACGGAUUCUGUAGAUUGAUCUUGCUCAAUCUUUAAUCAUUGAUUCCAGAACUUCGUGGUAGUCAGUUAGAGAGCUAGAAAACAGCAAAUAUUUCUAGUGUAACUAUUAACAGUAAUUACACUACAAAAAAAGAAGUAUUUUUUUAUCGGAACUACUCAGAGAAGUUUAAGACAGGUCAGCAAAGACAAUCUAUUCGCCUGUGAGAGAAGCUGCCAACCAUCUCAAGGGCCUGGAGGCAAGUAAAGGUUGACUUCCUCGAGCAAAGAAGCACAGACCUGCAAAACUUAAACUGAUACACAAGCACUGCAACUCGCACUUUAAAAAUUCAUAAGUUGCACAGUUGAAAUUAAAGAAGAGACACAUCUUUGCCAGACGCCCAGGUUAAAGAUAUGCAGAAUGAUUAACAGCAUAUGAAACAGUUUAUAUGAAAAACUCCAAAGUUACUUCAACGAUUAUUACAGUCUGAUAUGAUGUACUGAGGAAGACUUAAAACCAAUUUACUUCCUACAAACAGCUCCAAAAAACAUAAUUUUAGAAAAAGAAAAAAAAGACCAGAAAAUGACACAGUACGCAAUAAUGCUACACCCUAUGCACUUGUAGAAGGUCUGCAAUCACAGCAUACAGAACAUUAUUUCUCUAGAUGUUGCCAAAAGGAAGGCUAAAGUUUAUCUACUCUUUAACUCCAGAUGAAAUGUCAGCCA
rnacentral:lncRNA from 1 species